GUGCUUGCAUCAUGAUUUACAUUUGAGUGAGUGGCGAACUGGUGAGUAACACGUGGGAAACCUGCCCAGAAGCGGGGGAUAACACCUGGAAACAGAUGCUAAUACCGCAUAACAACUUGGACCGCAUGGUCCGAGUUUGAAAGAUGGCUUCGGCUAUCACUUCUGGAUGGUCCCGCGGCGUAUAGCUAGAUGGUGAGGUAACGGCUCACCAUGGCAAUGAUACGUAGCCGACCUGAGAGGGUAAUCGGCCACAUUGGGACUGAGACACGGCCCAAACUCCUACGGGAGGCAGCAGUAGGGAAUCUUCCACAAUGGACGAAAGUCUGAUGGAGCAACGCCGCGUGAGUGAAGAAGGGUUUCGGCUCGUAAAACUCUGUUGUUAAAGAAGAACAUAUCUGAGAGUAACUGUUCAGGUAUUGACGGUAUUUAACCAGAAAGCCACGGCUAACUACGUGCCAGCAGCCGCGGUAAUACGUAGGUGGCAAGCGUUGUCCGGAUUUAUUGGGCGUAAAGCGAGCGCAGGCGGUUUUUUAAGUCUGAUGUGAAAGCCUUCGGCUCAACCGAAGAAGUGCAUCGGAAACUGGGAAACUUGAGUGCAGAAGAGGACAGUGGAACUCCAUGUGUAGCGGUGAAAUGCGUAGAUAUAUGGAAGAACACCAGUGGCGAAGGCGGCUGUCUGGUCUGUAACUGACGCUGAGGCUCGAAAGUAUGGGUAGCAAACAGGAUUAGAUACCCUGGUAGUCCAUACCGUAAACGAUGAAUGCUAAGUGUUGGAGGGUUUCCGCCCUUCAGUGCUGCAGCUAACGCAUUAAGCAUUCCGCCUGGGGAGUACGGCCGCAAGGCUGAAACUCAAAGGAAUUGACGGGGGCCCGCACAAGCGGUGGAGCAUGUGGUUUAAUUCGAAGCUACGCGAAGAACCUUACCAGGUCUUGACAUACUAUGCAAAUCUAAGAGAUUAGACGUUCCCUUCGGGGACAUGGAUACAGGUGGUGCAUGGUGUCGUCA
rnacentral:rRNA from 2 species